rnacentral:snoRNA from 1 species
GCACCUCUCAGCAACCCAGUGGACUCUGCUGAGUGGUCAGAUUGGGUAUCAGAUGGUGCUAGAACGACUCACUGUGUAUCCAGAUGGACCUCCCCCCUCUGUGGAGCCUGUCUCUACAACUUUGAAACAUUA